rnacentral:rRNA from 1 species
UACGUAGGGUGCAAGCGUUAAUCGGAAUUACUGGGCGUAAAGCGUGCGCAGGCGGUUAUGUAAGGCAGAUGUGAAAUGCCCGGGCUUAACCUGGGAACUGCAUUUGUGACUGCAUGGCUAGAGUUUGGCAGAGGGGGGUAGAAUUCCACGUGUAGCAGUGAAAUGCGUAGAUAUGUGGAGGAACACCGAUGGCGAAAGCGGCGCGCUGGACCACUACUGACGCUGAGGAACGAAAGCUAGGGGAGCAAACCGG